CCAUCAAUCAAGCAGAUUUGAUGACAAAUCAAUAUUUCUGUCAAAAAUGGCUUAGCGCUACAAAAUUCCCCGAUUACCAAAUUCACAGUUUUUGUAGAAGACACAAAAUCCUCCAGUUCAAAAUGCGCUAAGUUACAAACAAUGUCACAACCGGUCCACAGCAAAACUCAAAAUAACUUCAGUCAAUAGUUCAGUGAUGGUUCCGAAACUGCGUGAGUAGUGGAGACUCAGCAAGAUGCCGAGACAAGGGUCAGAGUGCACGCGGUGCGUGAUGACACACUGCAUUGGACACUGGAUGUGCGAUGCUCGGAGAUACAUGAGACGCAGUCCUAUCCUUAAAUACAGCAAAUACAUACUGAUAGCUCUCAUUGUCGUCAUUGCUGCGUUUAUGCCCCUCGGAAACUCAGAAAAGAAAUGUGGCCUUUUCGCGUGUCGAGACAAGGCGGAGCGCGGGUGUCUGUGCAGUUGCUACGGAACUGUCGCCAGCCGGAUCUGCGACCUUUUAAAUGCCUUCCUCUGCCUUAUGAAAGCAUUUCUCGACAUAUUCAUGAACGUAGGACGGAGGGUAUCCGGUAAGCCAGUGCAAGGGCAAGGCGAUGGGGCGGCGGCGGCAGGCGCGGGGGCGGGUCCGGCCGGCAAGGCAGGAGCCGCGGGGGCCGCGGGGGGCGCGGGGGGCGCGGGGGGCGCAGCCGCUGGCGGGGACAAGGACAAGGCAGGAGCCAAGGGUAAAAAAACUACUGAAUCUGUAGCAUCAUCGCCGAUACCAAGGGUAGAAACUAAGGAGUCGAAACAGCAGACGGCGACGCCGCCGGCCGCGGGGACUCCACCGGUCAAGAAGGAGGACACCAAAAAGGAAGACGUAACUAAAGCUAAGUCAGAUUCGGCAGCAUCGCUAAAAAAAUCUAUUGAAUCGGACUCGGUUACAUUAUCAUCUCAAUGUGUGGUGAAAGAAUGUACACCACGAUUCCAAAAAAUCACACCAAAAAUUAAGAAACUUGAAGUUAAACCAAAAAUUAUUGAGGAAAGUUCAGAUGAAUCAGAAACUGCAUCUUUAAAUGAUAAAUGUGACGGUAAAUGCUUAAAAGAUAUCGAGGAGGAAUCUGACGACGAAGAAGAAGAAACACAUGUAGACUGUACAAAAAAAUGCAAGAAACCCUUUUUCAAAUGGUUUUGUUGUAAACGAAAAGAAAAUGAUUCCGUUAAAUGCACACGCAAGUGCGAUAAGAAACCUAAAGAGAAGGAGUUCGAUAAAUGUAAAAAGCAGUGCGAUGUAAAACCUGAAAAGGAGUUUGAUAAAUGUAAAAAGCAGUGCGAUGUAAAACCCGAGAAGGAGUUUGAUAAGUGUAGCCGACAGUGCGUGGAGUCUGACGACGAGGACCACGACCAGUGCGUCUCGCAGUGCGAGGAGGAGGAGGUUGAUGACAUUGAUGAGUGUGUCCAGAAGUGCGAGAAAACUUGGUGGUCCGCGUUAUUAUAAUACAACUAUGACUUUCAACUUUAUAGUCGAUUUGUUUAAUUGCAUAAGAGCCACCGAAAGCUGACACAGUGAAGAAGGAUCCCUCAAAACAAGACUUGACGGAAACUAAAGGAGCAAAGUCACCUUCAGCUGGGCCUGGUGGAAACAAACCUAAAAAGUCUCCAUCCAAGGGAUCUUCAAUACCU